rnacentral:rRNA from 1 species
CCUACGGGGGGCAGCAGUGAGGAAUAUUGGUCAAUGGGCGCGAGCCUGAGCCAGCCAAGUCGCGUGAGGGAGGACGGCCCUACGGGUUGUAAACCUCUUUUGCCGGGAGCAACGGGCGUCACGUGUGGCGCCACUGAGAGUACCCGGAGAAAAAGCAUCGGCUAACUCCGUGCCAGCAGCCGCGGUAAUACGGAGGAUGCGAGCGUUAUCCGGAUUUAUUGGGUUUAAGGGGUGCGUAGGCGGUUUGUCAAGUCAGCGGUAAAAAUUCCGGGCUCAACCCGGUCCCGCCGUUGAAACUGGCGAAC